GCCCCAAUAGCCCAAUGGCAGAGGCAGACGACUUAAAAUCGUCACAGUGUCGGUUCGAGUCCGACUUGGGGCA
rnacentral:tRNA from 1 species